rnacentral:rRNA from 1 species
CCUACGGGAGGCAGCAGUAGGGAAUAUUGGGCAAUGGAGGCAACUCUGACCCAGCCAUGCCGCGUGCAGGAAGACGGUCCUCUGGAUUGUAAACUGCUUUUGAAUGGGAAGAAUGUGCUCCUUGCGAGGGGUAAUGACGGUACCAUUAGAAUAAGCCACGGCUAACUACGUGCCAGCAGCCGCGGUAAUACGUAGGUGGCGAGCGUUAUCCGGAUUUAUUGGGUUUAAAGGGUGCGUAGGCGGCUUAAUAAGUCGGUGGUUAAAAGUAGCAGCUUAACUGUUUUACAUGCCAUCGAUACUGUUGAGCUUGAGAUAUUUGGAGGCAGCUAGAAUUUCCGGUGUAGCGGUGAAAUGCAUAGAUACCGGAAGGAAUACCAAUUGCGAAGGCAGGUUGCUACGAAUAAACUGACGCUGAUGCACGAAAGCGUGGGGAUCAAACAGGAUUAGAUACCCUGGUAGUCCACGCCGUAAACGAUGAUUACUAGUUGUUGGGGUUUAAGCCUCAGUGACCAAGGGAAACCGAUAAGUAAUCCACCUGGGGAGUACGCCGGCAACGGUGAAACUUAAAGGAAUUGACGGCNGAGAGNGCGACGACGACGACGAGGAGAG